GACGAACGCUGGCGGCGCGCUUAACACAUGCAAGUCGAACGGAAAGGCCUGCUUUCCCUUGUGGAUUGCGGGUACUCGAGUGGCGAACGGGUGAGUAACACGUGAGUGAUCUGCCCCCAACUUGGGUAUAAGCCUGGGAAACUGGGUCUAAUUCCCGAUAGGACUGCAGGGUGGUGCCUGUGGUGGAAAACGAUUUUCUAGUGGUUGGGGAUGAGCUCGCGGCCUAUCAGCUUGUUGGUGGGGUAAUGGCCUACCAAGGCGGCGACGGGUAGCCGGCCUGGGAGGGUGGACGGCCACAUUGGGACUGGGAUACGGCCCAGACGCCUACGGGAGGCAGCAGUGGGGAAUAUUGCACAAGGGGCGGAAGCCUGAUGCAGCGACGCCGCGUGGGGGAUGACGGCCUUCGGGUUGUAAACUCCUUUCGACCGCGAGGAAGCCACCUGGUUGGAAGGGUGGUGACGGUAGUGGUAGAAGAAGCACCGGCUAACUACGUG
rnacentral:rRNA from 1 species